AGGCAGAGGUUGCAGUGAGCCGAGAUCACACCACUGUACUCCAGCCUGGGCAACAGAGUGAGACCCCGUCUCAACAAAAAAAAACAACAACAAAAACAACAACAACAACAACAACAACAAAAAGAAUGGUCUAGAAGAAAGAAGACUGGAAUGAUGAAGCAGAAGAGAAGGGAGGCUUACAUAACAUCUUGCGGGACUUGAGCAUAGCAGAUUUUGGCAUCUGCGGGUUGUCCUGAAACCAGUGCCCCACAGAUAUGGAGAGCUGACUGCAUUCCAAGUGAAGUUCAUGAGGAUUCCUAGAGCAGAAAAGAAGACAGCAAGCUUAGAGGGUGAGUUCCUCAAAUUUUGGAAUAGUGUAUUACAUU
rnacentral:lncRNA from 1 species